CAAUAGCGUAUAUUUAAGUUGUUGCAGUUAAAAAGCUCGUAGUUGGAUUUCGGAUGGGAUUUGCCGGUCCGUCGUUACGAUGUGCACUGGCCAGUCCUAUCUUGUUGUCGGGGACUAGCUCCUUGGAUUCACUUCCUGGGACUAGGAGCUGACGAGGUUACUUUGAGUAAAUUAGAGUGUUCAAAGCAAGCCUACGCUCUGAAUACAUUAGCAUGGAAUAACACGAUAGGACUCUGGCUUAUCUUGUUGGUCUGUGAGACCAGAGUAAUGAUUAAGAGGGACAGUCGGGGACAUUCGUAUUUCAUUGUCAGAGGUGUAAUUCUUGGAUUUAUGAAAGACGAACUUCUGCGAAAGCAUUUGUCAAGGAUGUUUUCAUUGA
rnacentral:rRNA from 1 species